AUUGAACGUUGGCGGCGUGGAUUAGGCAUGCAAGUCGAGCGCGAUAUGUAGCAAUACAUGGAGAGCGGCGAAAGGGAGAGUAAUACGUAGGUAUCUACCCUCGGGUCUGGGAUAGCAGCGGGAAACUGCUGGUAAUACCAGAUAACGUCUCCGGACCAAAGGUGUGAUUCCACCUGAGGAGGAGCCUACGGCCUAUUAGCUAGUUGGUAGGGUAACGGCCUACCAAGGCAAAGAUGGGUAUGGGGUGUGAGAGCAUGCCCCCACUCACUGGGACUGAGACACUGCCCAGACACCUACGGGUGGCUGCAGUCGAGAAUCUUCGGCAAUGGGCGAAAGCCUGACCGAGCGACGCCGCGUGCGGGAUGAAGGCCUUCGGGUUGUAAACCGCUGUCGUAGUGGAGGAAAUGUAGGAGAGUUAUCUCUUCUACUUGACUAAUACUAGGAGGAAGGACCGGCUAAUCUCGUGCCAGCCGCCGCGGUAAUAC
rnacentral:rRNA from 1 species